UUAAUUGAAGAGUUUGAUCAUGGCUCAGAUUGAACGCUGGCGGCAGGCCUAACACAUGCAAGUCGAGCGGUAACAGGGGAAGCUUGCUUCUUGCUGACGAGCGGCGGACGGGUGAGUAAUGUAUGGGGAUCUGCCCGAUAGAGGGGGAUAACUACUGGAAACGGUAGCUAAUACCGCAUAAUCUCUAAGGAGCAAAGCAGGGGAACUUCGGUCCUUGCG
rnacentral:rRNA from 1 species